rnacentral:rRNA from 1 species
UUGAUCAUGGCUCAGAGGGACNCGCUGGCGUGUAGGCCUAACACAUGCAAGUCGAACGGCAGCACAGGAGAGCUUGCUCUCUGGGUGGCGAGUGGCGGACGGGUGAGGAAUACAUCGGAAUCUACUCUGUCAGUAGGGGGAUAACGUAGGGAAACUUACGCUAAUACCGCAUACGACCUACGGGUGAAAGCAGGGGAUCUUCGGACCUUGCGCGAUUGAAUGAGCCGAUGUCGGAUUAGCUAGUUGGCGGGGUAAAGGCCCACCAAGGGCGACGAUCCGUAGCUGGUCUGAGAGGAUGAUCAGCCACACUGGAACUGAGACACGGUCCAGACUCCUACGGGAGGCAGCCAGUGGGGAAUAUUGGACAAUGGGCGCAAGCCUGAUCCAGCCAUACCGCGUGGGUGAAGAAGGCCUUCGGGUUGUAAAGCCCUUAUGUANGGGAAAGAAAUCCAGUCUGGCUAAUACCUGGUUGGGAUGACGGUACCCAAAGAAUAAGCACCGGCUAACUUCGUGCCAGCAGCCUGCGGUAAUACGAACGGGUGCAAGCGUUACUCGGAAUUACUGGGCGUAAAGCGUGCGUAGGUGGUCGUUUAAGUCCGUUGUGAAAGCCC